rnacentral:rRNA from 1 species
AACGUAGGAGACAAACGUUAUCCGGAGUUACUGGGCGUAAAGGGCGUGUAGGUGGUUUCGUAAGUCUGGCGUGAAAUUUCUCGGCUUAACCGAGGCAGGUCGUCGGAUACUGCGGAACUUGAGGACGGUAGAGGCGUGUGGAAUUCCGGGUGUAGUGGUGAAAUGCGUAGAGAUCCGGAGGAACACCAGUGGCGAAGGCGACACGCUGGGCCGUACCUGACACUGAUGCGCGACAGCAUGGGGAGCAACAGG